GCCGGAGCGUGCCACCGCUGGUCGGAAUCACUGGGCGUAAAGGGCGCGUCGGCGGCGCCGGCAGUCGGCCGUGAAAGCCCGGGGCUCAACCCCGGAGGUGCGGCCGAGACGCCGGUGCUGGAGGCCGGAAGAGGAGGGUGGAAUACCCAGUGUAGAGGUGAAAUUCGUAGAUAUUGGGUGGAACACCGGUGGCGAAAGCGGCUCUCUGGUCCGGACCUGACGCUGAGGCGCGAAAGCGUGGGGAGCAAACAGG
rnacentral:rRNA from 1 species